rnacentral:rRNA from 1 species
CGGGUGCACUGAUCCAGCCGGGCCUUUCCCUCUGUGGAACCCCAUGGCCUUCACUGGCUGUGGUGGGGAAACAGGACUUUUACUUUGAAAAAAUUAGAGUGCUCCAGGCAGGCCUAUGCUCGAAUACAUUAGCAUGGAAUAAUAGAAUAGGACGUGUGGUUCUAUUUUGUUGGUUUCUAGGACCGCCGUAAUGAUUAAUAGGGACAGUCGGGGGCAUCAGUAUUCAAUUGUCAGAGGUGAAAUUCUUGGAUCUAUUGAAGACUAACUACUGCGAAAGCAUUUGCCAAGGAUGUUUUCAUUGAUAAGGAACGAAAGUUAGGGGAUCGAAGACGAUCAGAUACCGUCGUAGUCUUAACUAUAAACUAUGCCGACUAGGGAUCGGACGAUGUUAUUCUUUGACGCGUUCGGCACCUUUCGAGAAAUCAAAGUGCUUGGGCUCCAGGGGGGGUAUGGUCGCAAGGCUGAAACUUAAAGAAAUUGACGGAAGGGCACCACCAGGGGUGGAACCUGCGGCUUAAUUUGACUCAACACGGGGAAACUCACCAGGUCCAGACACAGUGAGGAUUGACAGAUUGAGAGCUCUUUCUUGAUUCUGUGGGUGGUGGUGCAUGGCCGUUCUUAGUUGGUGGAGUGAUUUGUCUGCUUAAUUGCGAUAACGAACGAGACCUUAACCUGCUAAAUAGCCCGUACUGCUUUGGCAGUUCGCCGGCUUCUUAGAGGGACUAUCGG